GACGAACGCUGGCGGCGUGCUUAACACAUGCAAGUCGAACGAUGAAGCCGGAGCUUGCUCUGGUGAAUUAGUGGCGAACGGGUGAGUAACACGUGAGUAACCUGCCCUUGACUCUGGGAUAACUGCGGGAAACUGUAGCUAAUACCGGAUACGACCCUCGGAGGCAUCUCCUGGGGGUGGAAAGAAUUUCGGUCAAGGAUGGACUCGCGGCCUAUCAGCUAGUUGGUGAGGUAAAGGCUCACCAAGGCGACGACGAGUAGCCGGCCUGAGAGGGUGGCCGGCCACACUGGGACUGAGACACGGCCCAGACUCCUACGGGAGGCAGCAGUGGGGAAUAUUGCACAAUGGGCGAAAGCCUGAUGCAGCAACGCCGCGUGAGGGAUGAAGGCCUUCGGGUUGUAAACCUCUUUUAGCAGGGAAGAAGCGAAAGUGACGGUACCUGCAGAAAAAGCACCGGCUAACUACGUGCCAGCAGCCGCCGUAA
rnacentral:rRNA from 1 species